UCGGGAAUAUUGCGCAAUGGAGGAAACUCUGACGCAGUGACGCCGCGUAUAGGAAGAAGGUUUUCGGAUUGUAAACUAUUGUCGUGAGGGAAGAAAUUGACAGUACCUCAGGAGGAAGCUCCGGCUAACUAUGUGCCAGCAGCCGCGGUAAUACAUAGGGAGCAAGCGUUAUCCGGAUUUAUUGGGUGUAAAGGGUGCGUAGACGGGAAAUUUAAGUUAGUUGUGAAAUCCCCUCGGCUUAACUGAGGAACUGCAACUAAAACUGGUUUUCUUGAGUACUGGAGAGGAAAGUGGAAUUCCUAGUGUAGCGGUGAAAUGCGUAGAUAUUAGGAGGAACACCAGUGGCGAAGGCGACUUUCUGGACAGUAACUGACGUUGAGGCACGAAAGUGUGGGGAGCAAACAGGAUUAGAUACCC
rnacentral:rRNA from 1 species